rnacentral:misc_RNA from 1 species
AAGCUUUAACAGAGUAAAGAAUAAAAUAACGUUACUGUCUGUGUCCAUCGUCUGAUUGUAACAGCUCUUUACUCCAUUCCUUUCACAGUUGCUCAUUGCAGAGUAAUUGCAAUGGCAAUGCGCCACCACCAGCUCGAAACCCAACUCCAUUUUCUUCAUAAACAGAAGGAAUUUGGUGAUCUUGCCUCUUCAUCCUUGCAUGCGGCAAAGUCAUGGCCAUGAACUGCUGCUGCUGAGAGAUGUGAGGAUACUUGGGGCCUAGUACUUCCAGUGUUGAACUUGAAGGCAAAGAAGGAAUACAGGGCAUUAGCCCAGGCGAUUCUUGCCUCCCAUUUAGCCAGCUUGGAAACUGAGUCAUGGCUGUUGAAGUUGCAGUAUUCCUGUAUUGAGCUGCCAACUGAGGGGCCCAAAGCUGCUGCUGCUGCUGCUG